rnacentral:rRNA from 1 species
CACGUAGGGACCAAGCGUUGUCCGGAUUCAUUGGGCGUGAAGAGCUCGUAGGCGGUUCGAUAAGUCGGGUGUGAAACCUCCAGGCUCAACCUGGAGACGCCACCCGAUACUGUCGUGACUAGAGUCCAGUAGGGGAGCGUGGAAUUCCUGGUGUAGCGGUGAAAUGCGCAGAUAUCAGGAAGAACACCAAUGGCGAAGGCAGAUCUCUGGGCCGUAACUGACGCUGAGGAGCGAAAGCAUGGGGAGCGAACAGG